rnacentral:rRNA from 1 species
AGUGAACGCUGGCGGUAGGCCUAACACAUGCAAGUCGAACGGCAGCACAGUAAGAGCUUGCUCUUACGGGUGGCGAGUGGCGGACGGGUGAGGAAUACAUCGGAAUCUACUUUUUCGUGGGGGAUAACGUAGGGAAACUUACGCUAAUACCGCAUACGACCUACGGGUGAAAGCAGGAGAUCUUCGGACCUUGCGCGAUUGAAUGAGCCGAUGUCGGAUUAGCUAGUUGGCGGGGUAAAGGCCCACCAAGGCGACGAUCCGUAGCUGGUCUGAGAGGAUGAGCAGCCACACUGGAACUGAGACACGGUCCAGACUCCGACGGGAGGCAGCAGUGGGGAAUAUUGGACAAUGGGCGCAAGCUUGAUCCAGCCAUACCGCGUGGGUGAAGAAGGCCUUCGGGUUGUAAAGCCCUUUUGUUGGGAAAGAAAAGCAGCAGGUUAAUACCCCGCUGUUCUGACGGUACCCAAAGAAUAAGCACCGGCUAACUUCGUG